UACGUAGGGGGCAAGCGUUGUCCGGAAUCAUUGGGCGUAAAGAGCGCGUAGGCGGUCCGGUAAGUCGGUUGUGAAAGUCGGGGGCUCAACCCUCGGAGCCGACCGAUACUGUCGGGCUAGAGUCCGGAAGAGGCGAGUGGAAUUCCUGGUGUAGCGGUGAAAUGCGCAGAUAUCAGGAGGAACACCAGUGGCGAAGGCAGGCUCGCUGGGACGUAUGACGCUGAGGAGCGAGAACGUGGGGAGCGAACAGG
rnacentral:rRNA from 1 species